AGUUAUUUAGCUUAUAAAAAGCGUAUACUUUGAAAGUAUAAGAAAGAAUGUAAUUUAAUAGCUU
rnacentral:tRNA from 1 species